rnacentral:rRNA from 1 species
UACGUAGGGUGCGAGCGUUAAUCGGAAUUACUGGGCGUAAAGCGUGCGCAGGCGGUUGUGCAAGACAGGGGUGAAAUCCCCGGGCUUAACCUGGGAACUGCACUUGUGACUGCACAGCUGGAGUGCGGCAGAGGGGGAUGGAAUUCCGCGUGUAGCAGUGAAAUGCGUAGAGAUGUGGAGGAACACCGAUGGCGAAGGCAGCCCCCUGGGCUAACACUGACGCUCAUGCACGAAAGCGUGGGGAGCAAACAGG